GUAAGAAGGGCUUUAUAAAUACAUUUGAUUGAACAGUAGGCUUCCACUUGCUAGUUGAAACUCGGACAUUUCCAAAUUGCUGAAUAAUUGAACGCCGCACGUGUAUAACGACAAGCAGUUAGCAAGUAAGACAUCUUCAAGUUUUCUAAAUCCGACUAGCACAUGAGCGCGGCAUUAUAUGGUUGUGUCACGUCCGAAGCUUCAUACGUCAUCACGUGGUAUUGUUACGUCGACACGUGUAGAAUCGAAGUGCUGCACCAGACAGUGAAUAUUAAUUUCAGGGUUAGCCAACACACCAUUUUGAAUCUGUGCUCAGAAGCCAGCUAGCUAGCUAGCUAGCUUACCUUAGCAUUUCCAGUGUGCGAUUAGUGCUGCUAGAGAGAAGAAAUCAAGCUCCAGCAAUGUCAAUGUGGAAGGGACUGCACAUGACAGCGCAUGCCACUCAUGGAAUUCAUGUUUCCUCGCGAUUUAUCCAUAAACACACGCGACUCUGCACCCUUUCGUUCCGAAACAUCAGCACUGGUAGACUCGUGCAAAAUGAUUUCUUCAAAGAUCUGGAGAACCAGUUAAAAGCGUUCAGGGAGAAAGCGGCAGACGCCAUGCCUGGCAGUGACUGGACUCCGUUUGAGAAGAACCGCUCACUCCCCCCUGAGAGGGCAGACAUCGUGAUCGUAGGAGGUGGCGUGGUGGGCUGGUCCAUCGCCUAUUGGCUGAAGCAGAAAGAGAUGAUUCGGGACGGGGUGCGGGUGCUGGUGGUUGAGAGGGACCCCACUUACUCCCAGGCCUCCACGGUGCUGUCUGCUGGGGGGAUUCGACAGCAGUUCUCCUUGCCAGAGAACAUCUACCUGUCUAUGGCCUCGGCUGACUUCAUGAGGAACAUCAAUGAACACUUGAGUGUGCUGAAUGACGACCCCGUGGACCUGCAGUUUAACCACUCCGGAUAUCUCUUUCUGGCCAGUGAAAAAGUGGCUCAUAUCAUGGAAGAAAACUACAGCACCCAAAGAUAUGCUGGAGCAAAAGUCGCUCUUCUUUCACCCACACAACUAAAGGAGAAAUGUCCAUGGAUCAACACUGAUGGAGUAGUGCUGGCUUCAUAUGGGCUGGAGAACGAGGGCUGGUUCGACCCCUGGAUGCUGUUGAACGCUUUCAGACGGAAGGCCAUCUCCAUGGGGGUCUACCAGUGCUUUGGAGAAGUCACAGGUUUUAAGUACACCACAAACACAAUGACUACUGCAGAAGGAGACAAGGUGGAUUUCAGGAGAAUCAAAUAUGCUAAUGUCCAGAUGCCCAACAGUCUGGAGUACCAGCCUGUGGAGUGUGCCAUCGUGGUGAACGCUGCAGGGGCCUUCUCCGGUAAGGUGGCAGAGAUGAUGGGCAUCGGGCUCGGCCUAAAAGACACCAUCGCUGGAAUCCCGCUACCCGUGGAGCCCAGGAAAAGGUUCAUCUAUGUAGUCCACUGUCCAAACGGGCCAGGGCUGGACACUCCCUUCCUUGUAGAUUACUCUGGAGUGUACUUCAGACGAGAGGGGCUGGGAGGAAACUACAUUGCUGGGAUGUCACCAGAAGAGAGUCUGGGAAGCGGUCUUCAUUAUUUGCAACCCCAUCAGGAAGAGGAGCCAGAGACCAAUAACCUGGAGGUGGACCACCAGUUCUUCCAGAAGAUCUGGCCUCAUUUGGCCCACCGGGUCCCUGCCUUUGAGUGCCUCAAGGUGACAAGCGCAUGGGCCGGCUUCUACGACUACAACACCUUUGACCAGAACGGCAUCGUGGGCAUGCACCCGCUGGUCAACAACAUGUUCUUUGCCACAGGCUUCAGCGGGCACGGGCUGCAGCACUCGCCGGCAGUGGGUCGCGCCAUGGCCGAACUCAUCCUGGACGGGGGCUUCAAGACCCUGGACCUGAGCGCCUUCAGCUUCAAACGCAUCAUGACCAAGGAACCCAUGUUAGAGAGGAACAUUGUCUGAGAGGGAGAGUUGGACAUUUUUACGAAGGGAGAAAAGAGUGGAAGGAGGAAUGCCUUGUUCCAUUCUACAGUCUUGCGGGAAAUAUGGUCUCGAAAUAAGAGUUUGCCCAAGUUUCUGAGAACAGUAUAGUUACUGAGAAUCACCAGAUGACUGGAAAAUGCUACAACAGGAGUAACCGCACAUUUCACAAGCUCAAUUCAGUGGUCUACCGGUGAGACCACAUGGGAGCGGCCUCGCACUUUAACAGUCACCCAUCGCUUGGGAGUGCUCAGAACUCCAACCGCAAGAAUGAAAAAAUGGGAUGCGUCAGAAAUGCAUCUCAGGAACGAGUGAGGGACUUUGUGGGAUGAGGGCAGAAGAAAGAGCCCUGACAGCAAACAUGGAAUUUAGGAUGCCCAAUAUCUAACCUACUGUACAAAGAAUAAGGUACUGACAUACAAUGCAUUAGCGCAAUUAGAAAGGCUUUGUUGGAUAUUGGAGUAAUUUCCAUUCCUGCAAUGGUAAACCUGUAUUGAAUGGCUUGAUUAUGCUUAUUUUUUUUCCUUUUUUACCAUUUUAACUAGACAUGUCAUUUUACUCUUGAUCACGUAAGCAUUCAACUGUAUUUGUAUAAAAAAAAAAAAGUGAAGUCGGAAGUUUACAUACCCCUUAGCCAAAUACAUUUAAACAAGUUUUUCACAAUUCCUGACAUUUUAAUCCUUGUAAAAAUUCCCUGUCUUAGGUCAGUUAGGAUCACCACUUCUAUUUUAAGAAGGUGAAAUGUCAGAAUAAUAGGAGA